CUCAGAGUCUCCAGUCGACAGUGACGACUCUCCAGAAAACCACACAGACGCUUCACUCCUGAAUCCUGCAGCUUGUUGUUACUCAGGUCCAGUUGUGUCAGAUGUGACGGGUUGGACUUCAGAGCUGAGACCAGAGAAUCACAGCUCAUCUCUGACAAACUGCAGUAACUCAAUCUGAAUAAAGAAUCAAAGAUGAAACAGUAGAAAACACAGUUAGUUGAAUCCAUUUGUAACAACUGCCCCUUCGUGCCACUUGAGGCGCUGUUUUGUUUCCUCCUUGUGUUGAGCUCAUUUCCUGUGUGUUGCCAGGUCUGAUGAAGGAUGUGAAUCACUGGGCCUAAUGGUAUUUAAGUUUGGCCUUUGUUUCAUUCUUGCUGGUGUGUCGUGGGUCGUAAGCUUGAAGCUGCGUCCAGGUUACAAUAAGUUAAAGAGGCGUUUUCUGUCAUUUGAUGUCCUGUCCUUUGUCACCUGUGAAGGUUUGUAGUCGUCUCCAGUCGCAGUCUUGUGUUUCAUGUUUCAUGUUAGGAUUUAGUUGCCCGUUGUAACGGAGCGUAUUUAGUUUAGCCUGUAGGAAACAGGGCUGUUUACAUUAGUUCUCAGUCGUCCAGUGUCGUCAUCUUGUGUUUUCAUGUGUAGAGUUUUUGUUGUUGGAUCACGGAGCGUAAUUAUAUAGAGUCAUUAGUUUAGUCGUUACCUGCA